rnacentral:lncRNA from 1 species
UCCAUUUAUAAAAUCAGGGUUUAUAAUUAUUUUUUUACAUUUAAGCAAUUUUAUUUAAUAAUUGAUUAUUCUAUAAUUAGGAUAUAUUGUAUAGUUUUUUUUUUCAAACUUCAAUUUUCAGUGAUAAAUGUUAAUUAGUGUUCAUUAUAUCAUCCUUUCUCUAUUCUCCAAAAGUAUGACAUUUUUUAUGGGCACAACUUUUAAUAAAAAAUGGG